rnacentral:rRNA from 1 species
GAUGAACGCUGGCGGCGUGCCUAAUACAUGCAAGUCGAGCGAACGGACGUGAAGCUUGCUUCUCUGAUGUUAGCGGCGGACGGGUGAGUAACACGUGGAUAACCUACCUAUAAGACUGGGAUAACUUCGGGAAACCGGAGCUAAUACCGGAUAAUAUUUUGAACCGCAUGGUUCAAAAGUGAAAGACGGUCUUGCUGUCACUUAUAGAUGGAUCCGCGCUGCAUUAGCUAGUUGGUAAGGUAACGGCUUACCAAGGCAACGAUGCAUAGCCGACCUGAGAGGGUGAUCGGCCACACUGGAACUGAGACACGGUCCAGACUCCUACGGGAGGCAGCAGUAGGGAAUCUUCCGCAAAGGGCGAAAGCCUGACGGAGCAACGCCGCGUGAGUGAUGAAGGUCUUCGGAUCGUAAAACUCUGUUAUUAGGGAAGAACAUAUGUGUAAGUAACUGUGCACAUCUUGACGGUACCUAAUCAGAAAGCCACGGCUAACUACGUG